rnacentral:rRNA from 1 species
UACGUAGGCAGCAAGCGUUGUUCGGAGUUACUGGGCGUAAAGGGUGUGUAGGCGGUCCUCUAAGUCUGGUGUGAAAUCUCCCGGCUCAACUGGGAGGGUGCGCCGGAAACUGGAGGGCUAGAGUACUGGAUGGGAGAGUGGAAUUCCUGGUGUAGCGGUGAAAUGCGUAGAUAUCUGGAGGAACACCGGUGGCGAAGGCGGCAUCCUGGACCAACACUGACGCUGAGGAGCGAAAGCCAGGGGAGCAAACGGG